rnacentral:rRNA from 1 species
UACGGAGGGUGCAAACGUUGCUCGGAAUCAUUGGGCGUAAAGCGCGCGUAGGCGGCGAGGCAAGUUGGAUGUGAAAGCCCUGGGCUCAACCUAGGAUGUGCAUACAAAACUGCCUCGCUUGAAUCUCGGAGGGGGUCAGGGAAUUCCCGGUGUAGAGGUGAAAUUCGUAGAUAUCGGGAGGAACACCAGUGGCGAAGGCGCUGACCUGGACGAUGAUUGACGCUGAGGCGCGAAAGCCAGGGGAGCGAACGGG